UCAAAUAUAUUUAUCUAACUAGCGAAAAUUGAAAGAAAUUCGAUGGAUAGCCCGGUUCGCACGCCAUCGUUAACUUUUUUCUCGACAACACAAUUCGGUGUGACGAUACAAAAUACACACUCUCGCUUUUAAGCUUGUUUCUAUUCUGAGGCGCGUCAAUCACAACAUGAAGGCCAGGGGCGAUACUACGAAUUGUAGGACUGCGUAUAUCUAUCUGUAGGCAAAAGGCAAACAGGGCACCAGCCUUGUUAGGAUCUUCAGCUAAUUGAUUAGGUGCAUAAUUCAUAUAUGUGUAGAAUGUGUUAGAGUGCGAACUAACCACUCGAAAAUGGGUCUCUAUGUGUAAUAAUGUCAUUAGAUAGUAAAGAACUACUCUUUGUGCUGUCGUGAGCAUUUCCAUACUGAGAGGAUAAAAUUUUGGCGCCAUUCGAGGAACGUUGACAGUUGGAUGAAGUGCACAAUCACUCCGCACAUUUAUGAAAACUUUCCAUUGAAGCCAGUGUAAUAUGGGCUUUAACAUGCUAGAAUCAAACGACCCACCUGGCUCUCAGCUGCGAUAUCGUGCGCAGAGUGUGUAGAGCUGCAACACAUAGAACGUUAUUAUGCCAUCAACCAAUUGCACAUCGUACGCUGUGCUUGACUCACUCAUAAACAGGUUUGUAAAUCGCACAAUGUUUCAUAUGUGUUUCAAUCAGAGCGGACAAAGGUACUCCAAACCCCUAAACACAUCCAUGUUCAAGCUCACUCAACACUGUCAAAACGAUUUGGAAACCCCAUUUGUUGACAAUAUUUAACCAGAAAAUCAUCGAAAGCUACUGGGUGUGUAGACAAAUAAUUCACGAACUUCUCAAAGGCAAAUCAGGGCUGCAGGACAAAAACGAAAUGAAAGCUAGCGUUGAACAGAAUGUACAAUAAGUGCUGCAUAUUGAUUUACAGCGAAAAUCAAUAAUAAUUUAAUAGCAUCACAUACCGACGGAUAAAAUCUCAACGUAUUUGCGAUAGUAUGUAGUUGUGCCACAACUCUAACAUCCUACCCCCGUAGGGGGUCAAGUGUGGGGGUUUAUUGAUCAUUCGCCUGACUAGUAAGAACUCGUUAGUACUUGUCUUAGUCCGCUGUUUCGUCGGUACCCUUACGGUACAGCUGAAUAUCUAGUCUGCCACGUGACGCGAUGCCCACGCACGCUUCUACUGCUGUUAUCAUGAUCAGACGCCAAUGAAGGAGAGUAGUAGAAGACAGUGAAUGGUGCGUGUAUCCAGAAAAGGAAGAAGAGGGGGUCUGCGUGGAAAAAAAACAGGAAUAGGGCAAUAAGAAUAGAGUGUAGUGCAGAGUCCCCUAUAGCCAUCGUUCCAAUUCGAGGUUGAGCGGAGCUGUUGUUGUGAUAGGUACGUAGCCUUCACAAUGCUGCUGCUGAUAAUCCAGUCUCUACUGUCCUAAUAGAAGAAACCCGGCUGAUGCCGGAGGUGGGGUGCUAGCGGGGGUGAGCGCAGAACCGUUCUAUUUCUUGGCGCCUCUUCUAUGGAAAAAAAAGCUGAAGGGAUAUGUCUUGGUAUUAGCAUCGAUGCACAAGGUAAACAAAGCUUUCCUUCUACUAUACAACCCGUAAGUGGGCUCUGCAACGGCCGCUUUUCUUAUCUUCGCUGGAGGUCGCUGCCAGCUGCUAUCACGGCGGAGGCUACCUCACCUUGCAGCUUCUGCUAUUCCGCUAGUGACUUCGGUAAUAAAGUAUCACGCACAAAAGCGAAUGUUAUUGGCUCUCUCACUCGCGUCGAUACCCCCCAGCGUCUCUGGAGACGUCGGACUACGAGCGCCAAGCGAACGAACGAACGAACGAACUACGCGUGUCGAAGACCCCACACAAUAGAGUAAAGCGGACCCCCGGUUAACAUGCCAGAGAGACUCGAUUCAUUUUCGACAGGGCAUCUUCCCCAGCUACGGUGGCUGAUAUUAGCGCAGCUUCUCAAUACAGCUACCAAUGAAUAAUACGUAGCUUCUAUUGAACAAUACGGUGUAUAGAAAAUUGGCACCGAAAGAAAACGCAGAUACAGGCAACAUGAACUAAAGAUAGAAUAUAUAUUAGAGAUGUUAGAUUAGGAAGAACGCUUGGAGAAACUGUUAAAAAUUAUACAGAUGCGUAAAGAUUCAGCGAUUUCAAAAUCGGACUAGCAUUGUACGGCGAUAAGCAGAGGCUAAACGGUCUUUGUAGGUUAUUCAGCUAUUGAAAUAUAUAUACAGACAAGUAAGAAAUGACAAUGCUAUGCGGAUAUUCUUUCGGCCGACGGUUAUAGAUAAACUUUGUAACUGUGAAAAGAAAUAAGCGUAAGAUAGCUCAGCCCUUAAUAAUAAGCAUAGGAAGGUUCAAUAGGUAUCUUUUAGUUUUCAUAAUAUUUCAGUUGAUGGAUAGUCAACUCCUCCCAGUUAUCAACCGUACUGCUCUUAGUUGUCAUUUCGGUAAGGUAGCCCCUGCCAUAUUAACUUUUAAGCUGAAAUCUCGGUGGACGAUCGAGUUUCUGGGGCUGGGUGGUGUAUUUAUUGCAGCAAAAGCGAGCUUCUCUUCUACCAAAGAACAGUUCUGACUUUUCGAUUCGUACAAUAUAUGUAUCGAAUGUAUAUGCGCGUAUCGUUAAGUGGAUGGCAUUUAAGUUUUUAUCAAUAAACACGCAUGAAUUCAGGGGAAUGCAAGGAGCACUUCUCUACCAGUCAUAAGGGACGGCACGGGGAACGGGCUCAACCGGAAGCGGAUGUUGGUCUUCAACCGAUGUUACGAUUAUGGCUGACAUUUUUGAAGGCGUUCAGCUGUAUACCCAUUGUUGUGUUUUGUCAUGCCGUCGACAGCACGUAUUCUAUAUUGCCAGAGUCGGACAUUUGACGUUGCAUGCAUUUAGUCGAGCACCGUCGUCAAAUCACGAGCGAGUAGAAGCAAUCGUACUUAUAAAAACUUCAUUGAUAAACUUGUAGUCAGAAGCAUGUGGGUUCGAAAUGGUGACCCUAUUGUCGAUUAACAAGCGUACUAUUUGAACUUGAAGCCAUAAUUUCUAGUAUAUAUUUUCUAUAUCAAGUAACAUAGUACUUUGUCUUUUGCGAGUGUCCCAACGGGCCGUUGAAUACUAGCAAAUUCUAGCUGAAACUGUUAAGGGAAUUUAACUUUUUUCAACCAACACAAUAAAUAGUCUCUUACAUUCACGAUAUAACUUCGAUUGUUCCACUAUUUCGGCAAUUGGGGGCAAAAUCUUCUUUACGUUCCGUUCACCUGCUAUUGUAGUUUAUCAGAGAGAGUCAUCCAAGUAAGAUGUCGUUUAAAACAUUUUCAUUAACUUAUAUUUUAGGAAAUUUUCGCCCUGAAUACCACAUACACACACGCACACACCAAGGCCGCAUUAGUCCAUAGCCCUAAGUUUCAGCUGGGACAGGGGCUUAUUUCUGCCACGUAAAUGUCACAUUUUGGUCUUUGAAACAGCUAGACUGGCUUAUGUAAAACCGGGAUACCCCAACUGAAGAACGUUUUUAAAAGGGGUAUGGGGCCGUUAUGAUGAAUGCUAGUCUAAUGAGGACCUGUACGCCCGAUGUCCACAGGCGAGUGCAAACAUUGUUUUAUCCAUGAAGCAAGCAUACUUGUUAUAAGCUGACUGGGUCGUAAAAGCCGAUGAUAUUUGACCCGAAUCGGACAGAUUUUUAUUUUAGGCAAACAAAUCAGGUUCUACAAUUUGCUUUAUUUUGAAUUUUUUUAGUCUUCUCAUGUAAGCUGCUAAGCAAGUGGCUCGCCUUAUAAUCUUUUCGACUGGGCGAAAUGUCACAUCGAUGCUAGCUCUGUGUGAAAGAAAAAACAAAUUUAAAGAUAAUUUGCCACUAUGUCAGACAUAAGAGAAAGUAGAUCUGCUGUGAUCACAUGAAUUAGAUAAUUCAAUGACAACAAAGCUUAAGUACAUAGUUCUUCCUAGCUUUAUUCUUCGUAGUUUCUAUUCUAUAACCCAAUUAUUCACUAGGUUCAGCAUACACUAAGCAAUAAAGGAUACCUUUCAGUUCAGCCCACCAUUUUGUUCAAAGUAUAUAUAUUUGAUCUAAACAAAAUCUCUCUAAAUGCGCUUGUAAAAAGCAAAUUGUAUUUAGUUUUUACAAAAAAACACUGACUAUAAAAAAAAAUCCCACCACCCACCGCUUUAAAUAAGUAUUGAAAUUUAAAUAAAUAAAUAAUUAUUUAUUAAGUAGAACAAUCAUCGUAAUUUAUGCGCGAUGCAACUACUUACAUAAACGAGUCGGAACGUAUCUCUGAUAGAUACUAUUUCGUAGUGUUACAAUAGAAAUGAUGUAGAAUUAAAUAAGAUGACGAUGAUAAUACGUCUAAUAUCCAAAACUAUGCAUCAUAAUACUUCAAUUUAGAAGCUUCAUUUCUCGUUUUUCUAACUAUAUAUAUCAAUUAAAUAAAAUGUCAAUUCAAUUAUACAGCAAAAUAACAAGAUAUUAUAAUAUCUUGUUAUAUCAUAAGUUAAUAAGGAAAAUCCCACCGCCCACCACUCUAGAUAAAUGUAUAACAAAAUAUAUGUCAGUGAAUGCGUAAAAUCACAAAUAAAGGAUUCGAAAAUAAAAAAUUGCAUUAUAUAAUUACACUGGCAGCCUAAUAACUUUUGAUAUACAUAUAUAUAUAUAUAUAUA
rnacentral:lncRNA from 1 species